CCGCUUUGGCCUUCCAAUGUGCUGGGAUUACAGGUAUGAGCCACUGCACCCUGCCCCUGCAGUUUAAUUCUUCGAGUCCACUUCAUUCUCUUGAGAAUUGUGUCUAGACACCAUUUUUUCUGCCUAGGGAGAACUGGAGAUGGAGGUAGUGCCUGACAAGGGCCAUUUUCCCCCCUUUCCAAAUGCCUGCUCAGGGGUGGAGGUGUGAAGCCACAGGGAAGACGAGUUACUCUCCCCACGUGCCCCCGCUAUGCCUUGCCCGACCAGCAGAGGGAGCUGCCCUCUGUCCCUGGCCGAGAAUCGCCUCCUCCCGCCUGCUUGGGAACUUCCUGUGCGUCCACAAAGUUUGAAAGCUAGUAGGUUGAUUAACAAAAAUAAUAAAGUGCAGCAACCCCGAGGAACAACUAGAUUUCAAUUGAAUUUUUAAAAAAGACGCGGUCCUGUGAAAAGACAUAACUGAUUACAGUCCAAUCAAGUGAAAGUCCGUUGCAGAAGAUAAUGCAAUCUUUCUGCUUAGAUGAAAGAAUUACAUUAGCACUCAAUAAAUUCCUGUGAAAAUUACAGCAGCCUGCAAUUUAAUGGCUUAAUAUAUUAUAUUAGGUUGGAAAGUCCCAAUUAUAGUUGCUAAAUAAAAGUUGGAGUUGAGACAUUUUUUUAUGCAAAAGGUUGCACUAGCUAAGCUUACUCCUAUCGUUUCGCCUUAACCCCGAAGGGGCAGAAGGGAAAGGCUGAACUCUACUUUUCAUGCUUCCUCAGCUCCUGGUCCAGAGCCUGGUUCUUAGGAGCCCUGAAUUUAUUUUGUGGAAGUAAACUGCUUUCUUGGUAGCCCCUCUUCCCAUAUCUCUCUGCCAAGGAUGCUCUCAUAUAAGUUUCUGGAGAAGGAUCCGGGGGUCCUGGGUGCUAGAACAUGCCUCAGCCCCUUUUCCCAAGCAAAAGCUGUGAUUCAGGUGAGGGAGGGUGGGGCCUGACCCAACCAGGAGAUUCACCCUGCAGGGUGCUGAGUUCCUGCUAGGAUGGCCAGCCCUGCCAGGUCCUGCCUCCCCCCAGCACAGGCAAGAGGUGAACUACUGGGGUGCUGGGAGUUUGCACGACUGCUGUUUAAUUACUCUUUGCUGUCUCAUUCUCCUGGUAUGAACUUCCAGGAGGAGGGUGUUGAGUGCUGGUGCCUCCAAGAGGCCUCCCCGGAGCCUGAGAGAGUGCAGAUGAGAAACCCCUGCUCUGGGCACUUACACUGGGGCAGGCGUCCUCUCCCUGCUGCCCAACCAGGAUGUACAGCGUGUCGUCUUUCUCCAGGUUGAAGAUGCCCAGCACAGACACGCCGUGGGACCGCAUCAUGGUAUUCUUCCCGCCUUUCCCGCCAGCAGCUCCGUAGCCCGAGAUGCUGUAAUGGGACAAAGAACGUCGGCUCCCGCUGUGGUUUCUGGGGCCUGGUCAGGCUGCAUAAAAAAGUCAUCUCCACCUGAAGAUGUGGUUUGCUUGGGAAACUUCUGCCCAAGACGAAGUCCUCAACCUCUCCACUCCUGCUGUGGUUGAGAGGUAAGCAUCACGCUGCCCAUUCCUUUUGGCAUCAUUUGCAUAGUCAUUUGCAUCCACCAUGCAUUAUGAAUCAUUCUGAACUCUUUCGUAUGUUUAAAUUUAGCCAAAUUAUUAUAUUUUAGACAUUGUUUGUUCCUAACUCCUUUUACCCUUCCUAAGCCUUCUUUGCUAUUUUUCCCACCCUGCUCCCCUCAACCACCUUUGAAAGCCAGCCCCAUCUAUGUCUUGACCUAGUUCUUGAUGGUGA